rnacentral:rRNA from 1 species
GACAGAGGUGCCAAGCGUUAGGCGGAAUCACUGGGCUUAAAGCGUGUGUAGGCGGAAUUGUAAGUACCUUGUGAAAUCCCACGGCUCAACCGUGGAACUGCUCGGUAUACUGGCGAUCUUGAGCCACUUAGGGGUCAGCGGAACAAAUGGUGGAGCGGUGAAAUGCGUAGAUAUCAUUUGGAACGCCAAUGGUGAAAACAGCUGACUGGGAGUGUGCUGACGCUGAGACACGAAAGCCAGGGGAGCGAACGGG